UCCAGCCGAGCAGAUCCAGCGUGGAGAUGUACUGGCACCAAACUGGAUGCAGUAGAGUUGAGUAGAUCAGAGCAGUGGUAGUAGAGUAAAGAGUACGCUCUCUUCUAGAAACAGAGAGAGCAGAGGCCUUGCUUAGCGGAGAAGAGAUCCCAAGCAAGGAAGGAAGGCAGCGGAGAGGGGAAUGGCGGGCGGCGGCGGGGGGAGGAGCGG
rnacentral:lncRNA from 1 species